UACGGAGGGUGCGAGCGUUAAUCGGAAUUACUGGGCGUAAAGGGUGCGUAGGUGGUUGAAUAAGUUAUCUGUAAAAGCCCUGGGCUCAACCUGGGAAGGCCAGAUAAUACUGUUUGACUAGAGUAUAGGAGAGGGUAGUGGAAUUUCCGGUGUAGCGGUGAAAUGCGUAGAGAUCGGAAGGAACACCAGUGGCGAAGGCGGCUACCUGGCCGGAUACUGACACUGAAGCACGAAAGCGUGGGGAGCAAACAGG
rnacentral:rRNA from 1 species